rnacentral:rRNA from 1 species
UACGAAGGGUGCAAGCGUUACUCGGAAUUACUGGGCGUAAAGCGUGCGUAGGUGGUUUGUUAAGUCUGAUGUGAAAGCCCUGGGCUCAACCUGGGAAUUGCAUUGGAUACUGGCAAGCUAGAGUGCGGUAGAGGAUGGCGGAGUUCCCGGUGUAGCAGUGAAAUGCGUAGAGAUCGGGAGGAACAUCUGUGGCGAAGGCGGCCAUCUGGACCAGCACUGACACUGAGGCACGAAAGCGUGGGGAGCGAACAGG